AUUAUUUGCCUCACUGCAAUAUUAUUCUCAUAUAUUACAUGGUUUUUUUACAGAGGGUUUACCAAAAGAGAUUCUUAUUCAUACCAAGUCCAGACCUCGCCGCGUGUCGCCGUCGCCGUAUUUUUCUUGCUGUUCACACUUGCCGUUUGGGGUCUGUACUUUUUGGGGCGACUAAUCAAUAUUAAAAUGCAAGGCAUCCUGAAGUCUGAGUUUAUCAAGAGAUUCCUACCAGGCGGUCCAACAAUCAACGUCAAGAAAAAUAAAUGACCACAUAAAAAAUUUCAACUCAUUUCAAUUUCAUGAUACAUCAUAAACUUAUCCCUCUAGAAAUCUACAUAACGUGUCAAUCUGGUUAUGUGGAUCGGAGAGUCUUUUACUAGCAAAUUUUACUCAUAUUAAGCGUUACUGAGCUUUUUACUUUCAUCACCGCUGCUGAAAUUUAGUUCGCCUUCAAUAUAAUGUAAUCUAAUAAUCUAAAAUACCAUUAGAAAUGUCAGUCUCUUAGAAUGUGAGAAAUUCAUUUAAUGAAGUAAAAAUUUCACUUUACCUCAUUAAAUUUUAUUCAUUCAUCUUUAGAGAUUUACCCACCUUUAAUAACAUUAUGGCCAUCACCGACGAUCAAAAACUAAAUUCAACCGCAAAAAAAAAACGUGAAAAUAACUCAGUUUGGCUGACAUUUUCUCAACAUUAUACCAUUGUUUGAAAAUUGUAACACAAUUUUUUUAUAUAUAAAGUUAAAAGUUCGUGAAAGUCCGCAUAGGGAACCAUUGUGCAUCCGCGCAGUCUGUUCAUAAACAUUUCCCGUUUAUGCCAGUGGCAUAUCUUCUGUUGGCAACUAAUAGGAAUUUGUUCAUUUUCUUCAGUGGAUACGUUUGAGUUCGUCGUGUGUUUGAAGUUUUGAUCCUCAGAUAU